rnacentral:snoRNA from 1 species
CCCGCAGGAUAGUGCGUAUACGCUUUAGUGUUUCAUUCUAUACCAAUAAGGGAAAAGUGGGCAGUUGGUUUAAGCUUUUAUAUGCUUUCUUUAACAAUCACUUUAUUCUCAGCU